CUUAAGUGGGGAAUAACGCAUCGAAAGGUGUGCUAAUACCGCAUAAUCUCUGAGGAGAAAAGCAGGGGAUCGCAAGACCUUGCGCUUUUGGAGCGGCCGAUGUCUGAUUAGCUUGUUGGUGAGGUAAAAGCUUACCAAGGCUUCGAUCAGUAGCUGGUCUGAGAGGACGACCAGCCACACUGGGACUGAGACACGGCCCAGACUCCUACGGGAGGCAGCAGUGGGGAAUUUUGGACAAUGGGGGCAACCCUGAUCCAGCCAUGCCGCGUGAGUGAAGAAGGCCUUCGGGUUGUAAAGCUCUUUCAGCCGGAACGAAACGGUUACGGUUAAUACCCGUGACUACUGACGGUACCGGAAGAAGAAGCACCGGCUAACUACGUGCCAGCAGCCGCGGUAAUACGUAGGGUGCGAGCGUUAAUCGGAAUUACUGGGCGUAAAGCGUGCGCAGGUGGUUUUGUAAGUCAGAUGUGAAAUCCCCGGGCUCAACCUGGGAACUGCGUUUGAAACUACAAGGCUAGAGUGUGGCAGAGGGGGGUGGAAUUCCGCGUGUAGCAGUGAAAUGCGUAGAGAUGUGGAGGAACACCGAUGGCGAAGGCAGCCCCCUGGGUCAACACUGACGCUCAGGCACGAAAGCAUGGGGAGCAAACAGGAUUAGAUACCCUGGUAGUCCAUGCCCUAAACGAUGUCAACUAGUUGUCGGGCCUUAACGGGCUUGGUAACGUAGCUAACGCGUGAAGUUGACCGCCUGGGGAGUACGAUCGCAAGAUUAAAACUCAAAGGAAUUGACGGGGACCUGCACAAGCGGUGGAUUGUGUGGAUUAAUUCGAUGCAACGCGAAAAACCUUACCUACCCUUGACAUGUAUCGAAGCCCGCAGAAAAGUGGGUGUGCCCGAAAGGGAACGAUAACACAGGUGCUGCAUGGCUGUCGUCAGCUCGUGUCGUGAGAUGUUGGGUUAAGUCCCGCAACGAGCGCAACCCUUGUCAUUAAUUGCCAUCAUUUAGUUGGGCACUUUAAUGAGACUGCCGGUGACAAACCGGAGGAAGGUGGGGAUGACGUCAAGUCCUCAUGGCCCUUAUGGGUAGGGCUUCACACGUAA
rnacentral:rRNA from 1 species